AAAACUUUCAACAACGGAUCUCUUGGUUCCGGCAUCGAUGAAGAACGCAGCGAAAUGCGAUAACUAAUGUGAAUUGCAGAAUUCAGUGAAUCAUCGAGUCUUUGAACGCACAUUGCGCCCCCUGGUAUUCCGGGGGGCAUGCCUGUCCGAGCGUCAUUGCUGCCCUCAAGCACGGCUUGUGUGUUGGGCUCCGUCCCCCCG
rnacentral:rRNA from 2 species